AGGGGUUUUUGAAAGUGGUCGUUCUGAGAACAAUGACACUGGUGUGCGCGUGCAUGUGAAGAGUUCAUUUUCUAUUUUCAGUGUUUGAACGAAAACAAGGUCUCCCGGUUGGAAUAUUAUCGCUAUUUCACGAGAAAAAUCACAUAAAAAUUGAUUUUAAACAGCGUUUGACAUGCUUCGAAGUACGGUAAUGGAAUAUUUUGAAAUGUUUUGUCACGAUACACGCCGGCGCGUCACCCUUCGGAUAGUGUCUUGAACGCAAGAAGAAAACGCAGCUAUUUGGAUAUAACUAUGGAUUAUUUGGAACCAAAACAACAUUGGGUGUUGAAGUAGAAGUCCUGGGAGUGCAUUCUGAUGAAGAACAGCAAAGGUUUAGCAGGUGUGGAAGGACCACCAGAGGGCAGGCUGGGCUCACGGAUAGUAGCCCAACAAGAGAGAGGAUGAAACCAGCAAGAAAGGUGGAAGAUAG
rnacentral:lncRNA from 1 species